rnacentral:rRNA from 1 species
UGAGUAACGCGUGAGUAACCUGCCUUCAAGAGGGGAUAACAUUCUGAAAAGAAAUGCUAAUACCGCAUGACAUAUCGGAAUCACAUGGUUCUGAUAUCAAAGAUUUUAUCGCUUGAAGAUGGACUCGCGUCCGAUUAGUUAGUUGGUGAGGUAACGGCUCACCAAGACCGCGAUCGGUAGCCGGACUGAGGGGUUGAACGGCCACAUUGGGACUGAGACACGGCCCAGACUCCUACGGGAGGCAGCAUG